GCCAGGGUAGCGUAGUGGUUAAGCGCAUCUGCCUAGUGAGCUGGAGUCCUGGGUUCGAAUCCCGCCCUUGGUA